rnacentral:lncRNA from 1 species
GGAAAAAUCAGUUUAAAUAAAUAAAUAUCUCUAUAUAUUCCAUAUUUUUGUUGAGAUAAUCCAGUGUAAAAUGGAAGUUGUGGAAAAAUCAGUUUUUAUAUAUAUAUUUAUAUGUAUGUAUGUAUGUAUAUGUAUAUAUUUUCCCCAUAAUUUUGGUGAGAAAAUCCAGUUUAAAAUGGAAGUUGUGGGAAAAUCAGUUUAAAAUAGUUGUUGGGUUUUUUUUGCCAUGUUUUUGGUUAGAAAAUCUAGUGUAAAAUGGAAGCUGUGGGAAAAUCAGUUUAAAAUAAUUGUUGGGGAGUUUUUUACCAUAUUUUUGGUGGGAAAAUCCAGUUUAAAAUGGAAAUUGCUGGAAAAUGCCUUUUAAAAUAGAAAUUUUGAAAAGGGAAAAGCCUGUUUAAAAUAGUUUUGGUGGGGGUUUUUUUUCAGAAAAAAAAAAUCAUAUUUAGAAUGGAUUUUUCUUUCAUUGUUUUGGUGGGAAAAUCCAUUUUAAAGUGGAAAUCAUGGGAAAAAGCCAGUUCAAAAUGGAAAUGUUUCCCUUAUUGUUUUGGUGCAAAAAAUACAGUUCAAUUUUUUUUUAUUUUUUAUUUUUUCUAAGAUGCAGCACAAAAGGGAAUUUUCCCCCCUUUUUUUUGUGGGAGAACCAGGCUUAAAAUUGACUUUUCCCCCCCAUUUUGGUGGAAAGAUCCAUUUAAAAUUUUAUUUCCCCCUGUUUUCUGUGGAAUUCACAAUUCACCUCUCACUAUCCCAAGGCUGUCAUUGGGACUUAAGGAUAUAAAAGGCCUUUUCCAAUGUAAACAAUUCCAUGCUUUAGGGAGCUGAAAAACAGAGGAGGAUUUAAAACACAGAGGGGAAAGGAGCUGAGGGAAAUAAUAAAAAUUUCUAUAAUCUGUGGGGUUUUGAGUCUUGAGGCAGAAUUUGAUUCCCUGAAGCUGUUGGAUUUGUUUUUCCUUAGGAAUGAUGUGGAAAACACAACGGGAACAGGCACGAGAAGAGUUCCCAGAAGUUAUUUAUGAGCAGCCUGGAAAGCAAAAUAUUUUCAGAUUAAAAAGGAAAACAGCAUCCACUGCUUUCCCUGAGGUGUGUCCUUGCAGGAGGGAUUUGUCAGGAGCCUGCACUGAGCCGUCUUUUCGCGGCUCAUGGAGAACCAGGAUGGUUUUCCUCUACAUCCACGGGGAAUUUUGGUGCAAAAGUGGGUUUGUUUUAAGUGGCCUGGGCCAGGUUCUUCCUUCCAAGGCUUCUCUGGAGCCCACCAAAACCAAGGUUGAAUUUAGGGGUGGUUCCUGCAGUGUUAGAGACUGCAGUCCCCAAAAUCUGUCAUUGCUCUGGAGAGCUGCUGCUGGAGGGGAUUUUGGAUUCCUGCAGCAUCUCCCAGAGCCUGUCAGGGCUCUACAAACGCACAUUUCUGGUCUUUCAUUGGAGUAUUCCCUCUCUCCAGUUUAGAUCCUUACAUGUAGUCCCUUUGCAGGCACUCCUCAGACAUUUCCAGCUUGUUUUCACUUCUUAUUUUCAGAUAUAUUUGUAUAAACGUGGAUAUAGUUUGGUCACAAUGAUUUGGGAGCUCCAAGCAUCUCGUGUACAAUUAACGGGGAGACAAAGAUCAGACUGAGGAAGGUGAAAACGAGCUGGGAGCUCGUUGGUUGUGCCCUCCCAUCCCCACAUCUUGCACCAAGCUGGUUUUCACACCAGAGAGGAAUUUUUUUCAGUCAGUUUUUAAGACGGGUGUUGCCUGACUCCAGUCAGGCUCAUUUCCAUCUUGGUGGCUGCUGGAGCAUCUGAUAAUCCCAGUCCUGGUGUGUGAGAAAUGAGUUUUACUCUUUAAAAUUUUAAAAGUUUCGUAAGGGAUAAAAAAGGAAUUUUACAGUGCUGGGUGCAUAUCCAGAGCUAGAGUUGGUUAACUAUAACUCUUCUUAUAAACAUUUUAUUGCAUUGAUUAAAUGUAUAACAAUGAAGAUUAUACAUAUUCAAACAUUUUUCUUGAGUUCUUUUAUGUGUUUCUGGGAAUUCUUUAGCUUGGUUUGGCUCCUGACCUGUCGUGCAAAAGUGUAAUUUGAUUUUUGAGAGUCGCUAUUUAUUCACAACGACAAAUGAGGAGUUACUGAUAAUCAAAUGCUCGGUGGCAGAAGCCUUCACAUCUUCUUUUUCAAUGUUAUUUGUGUGGUUCUUUUAGUGUUGUCUAAUCAUACAGAUUUUUUUAACUGUCAUAGUUUUAACUAUUUCCACAAAUUUGAGUUAUUCUCACUAUUGUCAGCUACAAAAGCAAAGGCAUCAGCUACUUCUGCAAAAAGUUACAAGGCACAACACACAGUUUCUAUUUAAUAUUUUGCAAAAGCCUAAACUAUAUGUUCAUCACACAAAUAUAUAUAUAUAUAUGAGCUACUCAGGACCAGGAUUUUGGCCACAAAAGCUGACAAAUUAUACUGUAUUAAAACCAGUGAAUGUAUUUAAUAUACCCACACUGUUUUACCCUUUAUCCAACACACCAGAAUCACUGAGUUUUCCCAGUUUCCUCACACCCCUUUCUGUGGCCUUUAGCCCAAAUUCCUGAGGGAAUUUGAAUGCUGAUUUCCCGUGUGAGGAGCUUACAUUUCUGCAGCCAGGCUAAGGUUUAAUUUGCUUUCUCAGCAAGAUCUCAAAUCAAAGAUUGAUCAGAGAUUGAUCAGAGAUUGAUCUCACUGAUAAUCCUGUACCUAAACAAGAUAUUCACCCUGCUCUAAACCCCUGCACACAUUUCUGCCCUCGCUGUGCUGAUCGAGGUGACUGAUCCCAGCACUGAUGCAGAUGUUCAGAUUUGGGGAAGAUCCAAAGUUUGAGAAGGAAAACUUCAUGUUGGAGGUGUUAAUUGUCACCUUGUGCUGAUGAAAGGGCAGCAGCCCGGGGAAGGGAGGAAAACAACAAGAAUAACAGGUUUUAAAACGUGCAACAAUAUUAAAUAUUUAAUUAAAUAUUAUUAAAAUAAAUAUUAAAAUAAGCAGUAAAAUAAAUAUUAA